rnacentral:rRNA from 1 species
UGCGAGUGAAGCGGGAAAAGCUCAAAUUUAAAAUCUGGCAGAUGUUUGUCUGUCCGAGUUGUAACCUAGAGAAGUGUAACCUGUGCUGGACCAUGUACAAGUCUCCUGGAAUGGAGCAUCAUAGAGGGUGAGAAUCCCGUCUUUGACAUGGACUACCAGUGCACUGUGGUUGCGCACUCAACGAGUCGAGUUGUUUGGGAAUGCAGCUCUAAAUGGGUGGUAAAUUCCAUCUAAAGCUAAAUAUUGGCGAGAGACCGAUAGCGAACAAGUACCGUGAGGGAAAGAUGAAAAGAACUUUGGAAAGAGAGUUAAACAGUAUGUGAAAUUGUUGAAAGGGAAACGCUUGAAGUCAGCUGCAUUGGCUGGGGAUCAAGCCAGCUUAUUUGCUGGGUGUACUUCCUGGUUGAUGGGCCAACAUCAGUUUUGACCAUCAGAGAAAGGCUAAGGGAAUGUGGCACCUUUAUAGGUGUGUUAUAGCCCUUGGUUGUAUGUGGUGGAUGGGACUGAAGAUAGCAGCGUGCCACAAGGCCGGGUUUCCACCACGUUCACGCUUUGGAUGUUGGCAUAAUGGCUUUAAGCGACCCGUCUUGAAACACGGACCAAGGAGUCUAACAUGCAUGCAAGUGUUUGGGUGGAAAACUCAAGCGCGUAAUGAAAGUGAAAGUUGAGAUCCCUCUCACGGGGGGAGCAUCGACGCCCGGACCAGAACUUUUGGGACGGAUCUGCGGUAGAGCAAGCAUGUUGGGACCCGAAAGAUGGUGAACUAUGCCUGAAUAGGGUGAAGCCAGAGGAAACUCUGGUGGAAGCUCGUAGCGAUUCUGACGUGCAAAUCGA